rnacentral:rRNA from 1 species
CACGUAGGGGGCAAGCGUUGUCCGGAUUCAUUGGGCGUAAAGAGCUCGUAGGCGGUUCGAUAAGUCGGGUGUGAAACCUCCAGGCUCAACCUGGAGACGCCACCCGAUACUGUCGUGACUAGAGUCCAGUAGGGGAGCGUGGAAUUCCUGGUGUAGCGGUGAAAUGCGCAGAUAUCAGGAGGAACACCAGCGGCGAAGGCGGCUUCCUGGACCAGAACUGACGAUCAGGCUCGAAAGCGUGGGGAGCAAACAGG